GCCUUUUUGUUUUUUUCCCCCAAUUCCUUCGUGUUUUUCUUUGUCUUCCAGCCUAUCUAAAUUCAACUCCCACGGACAUACUUCACCCCGUCGCAGAAGAAUAAGGCCGAUCCUCACUGAUAGGCUCCAUCCCCUUGCACACGACCUCAGCCCGGGCAGCAGGUCGCAAGAAAGACACUGUCCUCACCCAGCACUCCCUCCGUGUCCCCGGUACCCGCAGUCACAAGAUGGAAGAAGCCUGGGCCGGGCUCACUCUGCGACCCACACUGCGUCUCCGUCCUCCAGCCCCUGCCACAGGCGGGGCCUCGGACCCAGGGCAGGAAGGGCCAGACCCAUCGCUCCUGGACUCCUCCAUCACCAAAGGGCAACGCAGCCUCCACCACCACCACCUCCCCAGCCCCGGGGGCAACAUGAUGUGGAACUUCAC
rnacentral:lncRNA from 1 species